AGCAGCCGCGGUAAUUCCAGCUCCAAUAGCGUAUAUUAAAGUUGUUGUGGUUAAAAAGCUCGUAGUUGAAUUUCGAGACCGGUUUAUUGGUCGUGCUUUUGUACGUACUGGUAUUAUUGGUUUCUCCUUUCUGACGAACUAUAAUGCCAUUAAUUUGGUGUUUUAGGGAAUCAGGACUGUUACUUUGAAAAAAU
rnacentral:rRNA from 1 species